rnacentral:tRNA from 1 species
GCAUUGGUGGUAUAGUGGUGAGCAUAGCUGCCUUCCAAGCAGUUAACCGGUUCGAUUCCCGGCCAAUGCA